CAGAAAGGUAUAUCCGGGUUGCUAUGGCAACCGGCGGACCUGCGCACUGAGCUCAGCAGGACGCCGGUGGCACUUCCGGAUCUUCCAACAUACUGUAAACCACAAAUGCACAGUAGGUAUUAAAACUGGUAUGACAGCCAAAUGAAUUGUCUAUUGGAGCACAUACAGAGCCAAUCAGGGAGGCGUCUCCCAGGUGACCAAUGAGAGGGACAAGCUCCGAGAGCCAAUCACAGACAAGCUUCCAAAGGGCCUAUCAUAUCAUUUCACCAAUGAUUAAGAUUAUAUAAGCUGAAUGCAAGAUGAGAAAGGAGGCUAGCUGACUUUUGCUGAACUGGUAACUGGAUAACUGGCUGCGUUGGGACACAGUCAUUUUUAAGCAAAUUGGGCUACUUAUUCUUAUCCACAUUGCAAAUACUCUUAUUUUCAUAUGAGGUGAAACAAAGAAGUUUUGGAAGCUGAAUUAUCGAUUUGGUCAUUUUGGGUGAAGUAUACAUGAUUGUUAAAUAUAUAUAUUAUAUUUAAAUCAAAUGUAUAUAGUAACUAUAACUAAAUUACAGUUAGUAAUUUUAAAAGGACAAUUUGUAUUUUAAAACUUGUGUUUCAUAGCCCUGUGUAUUUUAAA